CUAUUGGAAUGUUAUUCUGUUCUCACAAGGCUUGCCAGACCCCUGCCUCCCAUCUUGAUGUCUAAUAGGUCAAUCUUUCAAGAACACUUGUGGGGAGACCUGUGUCCUGGUCUGGAUCAGAGAUGUGAUGUAUUAACUUUCAGAGUCCUCCUUCACCCCGGCCUAUGUUUUACGGCUAGUGAGGGAAGUCUUUCCUGCCAGGAGAUGUUCAUUGAAGUGCAGACUGCUCGGAGCCACACCGCAGGCUGGCAGAGGAAGUGUCUCGGUGUUGCCUUGGCCCGUUCACCCCCUGCCAGGCCAGUAGAGGAGCUGAAGAGUCUUCGCCAUGGUUUGAGAAAAAGCUUAUAGAGGCCUGAGGCUGGAGGCAGGGGGAUCAGUGAGGAGGCUGCAGCAUCAGUCCAGCAUCUCCAAGCCUCUCUCCAAGUUCGCUCCAGGGCUUGCGAGAAACAAAGUGCUCUCCCUCAGCCCCAGCUCCUCGCACACCCAGUGGAAAGAAAACACUUGCUGUAAUUGGAAAGCCCCGAGAAGGUUGAGAGCACUUUUGUUUUCUUCAUCUCUGCGUCCUUAUUUCUUGGAACACUACCUGGCAAACCAUGGGUGCACCAUGCAGCAAGUUAAGGUCGCCGAAGUAGAAUUGCGUAUUAAGCCAGUGUCUCCAUCCAGACUUUUUUUUAGCAAGCAUACCUUAGGAAACUGAACUUCGCUUGAAACUGAAACUACCCUCCCAAAAUCAUCUCCAAGGGUUAUUUACAGACUAAAUGAGACAGUGUAUAUCUAACAUUGCUUUGUGGAUGCUAUCAAGUGCUGGCAAAUGUGUGGGAGAAUGAAUGGAAAACUUCAUCAAUUUCUAGGAUAGUAAAUUGGUGCUGCUAUUUUGGAGAGCAAUUUGUCAGCCUUCAGGGGAAACUGAAUAUGCACAUCCUCUAAGACCCAGCAGUUUCACUUCAAAGAAAAUUUCUUAUAUGCACAGAGACUUGUACAAGGAUAUUUAUCACAGCACUGUUUGUAAUAACAAAGGGCUGGAAAUAAACCAAAUGGCCAAUGAUAAGAAUUGAUAAAUGUGGUAAAUGCCUAAAAUAGAAUGUCACACAGCAGUUAAAAAAUCAUUUAUUCACUAAUUAAGCAAAGGACAAAAAGCCUCAACAGAAAAAAAAAGACAAAAGCCUUGAAUAGUCACUUUGCCAAAUGUUCAAUACACGUACAAAAACAUGGGCAAGUUCAUUGGUUGUCAAGGAAGUUCGAAUUAAAGCCACAUUUUGCAGGUACAACACUGGCACAAGUUUAAGUCUGAUGAUACCAAGUCUUGGAGAAGGUUGAAGCUACUGGAAAACCUGCCCUCUGCUGGUGGGAGUGCAAAUUGCUCCAAGCUCUUUGGACAAUAAUUUGGCAUCCUCUAGUGAAGUUGAAGAUGUGUGUGCUUGAGACUCAGCAAUUCCCCUUUGUGACAUCAGGAUGCUCCCGCACAUAUGCUUAAGAACAUUCAUGCCAGCUUUGUUUAUAUAACAAAAACGUGGAAAUAACCCAAAUGUCUGAGGAUGGGGAAUGGACAAAUAAUGGUUCAUAGUUAUGAAAAUGAAUACACAACAGCUACAAGCAUCUACUGGAAUGAAUCUCACAUGCAUUGUGUUGUAGAAGAAUAUGUAUAAUUCCAUUUAUGUAAAGUUUAAAAGCAUGCACAACUAAAUGAUAUGUUAUUUAUGAGUAUAUGACAUAUAUGAUAAAGGCAAAGAAUAAAUAAAGUAAGGAAAGGUAAGACAAUAAGAGUUUGUGAUACUGGUUACCUAUUAUGGGGAAGGAUGUUGGGGACAGGUGGGACACCUUGGGGAUUAUCUGAUACUGGCAAUCUGACAGGUGGUAGGUCACCAGGUGUUCUUAUUAACUUCAAUACUCUAUAUAUCCUAACACUGGUAAAUCUCAAGUAUGUAAUACUGAAUGAAAAAAAAUCAAAAGUCAAAUAGUACAGUCCUAUUUGUGAAGAAAAACUAACCCACGUGAAUAAAGUAUUGUUAGGGAUGCCUCUCUAUGUAAAUAAAGCCGUACAGGGCAGCUACAUGUUAAAUUCGUUGGCGUGUGCACAUACAGUGGAAUGAUAAUGGGAUUAGGGACUGAGUGAAGGGGAGGGCAGUACAUAACAUUUCAAAAUGGUAAACAUGAAAAUGGGGCUGUUUGUGAACUCCUGAUGCUUGUGUGCCAUGAACUGACUUGAGGUGGUUAAAUUAAGCAAUUCGCUCUCUUUCCAUGCAUGUGAUAUCCCAAAGGGAAAGAAAGGUUGCUUUGCAAAUUAGAAUAAUCAAAAUCAAGUAUGAACCAUUAAACAUGUUUUGCUUGCUGGUAGAUUAAGGAUCACACUGGAUAUACAGUAGAAAAUA
rnacentral:lncRNA from 1 species